rnacentral:rRNA from 1 species
AGAGUUUGAUCCUGGCUCAGAGCGAACGCUGGCGGCGUGCCUAACACAUGCAAGUCGAACGUGAAAUGGAGCAAUCCAGAGUAAAGUGGCGUACGGGUGAGUAACACGUAGGUAAUCUACCUCAGUGUCUGGAAUAACCUGCCGAAAGGCGGGCUAAUACUGGAUAGAGCGACGGAAUCCGUAAUUGGGUUUUUCGGGAAAGGGAGGGAGUAAUCUCCUUCGCACUGGGAUGAGCCUGCGUCUGAUUAGCUAGUUGGUGGGGUAAAGGCCCACCAAGGCGAUGAUCGGUAGCUGGUCUGAGAGGAUGAUCAGCCACACUGGAACUGAAACACGGUCCAGACUCCUACGGGAGGCAGCAGUGGGGAAUCUUGCGCAAUGGACGAAAGUCUGACGCAGCCACGCCGCGUGAGUGAAGAAGGCCUUCGGGUUGUAAAGCUCUGUCGGGCGGGACGAAAACUCCCGGUGUUAACAGCAUCGGGAACUGACGGUACCGCCAAAGGAAGCACCGGCUAACUUCGUGCCAGCAGCCGCGGUAAUACGAGGGGUGCAAGCGUUGCUCGGAAUUAUUGGGCGUAAAGGGUAGGUAGGUGGUCUCAUUUGUCAGGGGUGAAAGCCUUGGGCUUAACCCAAGAAGUGCCCUUGAAACGGUGAGACUAGAGUACUGGAGAGGGUCGUGGAAUUCCCGGUGUAGCGGUGAAAUGCGUAGAGAUCGGGAGGAACACCAGAGGCGAAGGCGGCGACCUGGACAGUGACUGACACUCAACUACGAAAGCGUGGGUAGCAAACAGGAUUAGAUACCCUGGGUAGUCCACGCUGUAAACGAUGGGUACUAGGUUUGGUGGGUCUUGACCCCCGCCGAACCGGAGCUAACGCAAUAAGUACCCCGCCUGGGAAGUACGGUCGCAGACUAAACUCAAGGAAUUGACGGGGCCCGCACAAGCGUGGAUCAUGUGGUUUAAUUCGAAGCACGCGAGACUUACUGGGUUUGACAUCUCCGGACAUCAUAGAAGAUAUUGACUU